ACAACAGGUGGAGCCUGCGGUUUAAUCGGACUCAACGCCGGGAAACUCACCAGAUAAGACAGCUGAAUGAUAGUCGGGCUGAAGACUCUACUUGACUAGCUGAGAGGAGGUGCAUGGCCGUCGUCAGUUCGUACUGUGAAGCAUCCUGUUAAGUCAGGCAACGAGCGAGACCCACGCCAACAGUUGCCAGCUCGUCCUCCGGGAUGGUGGGGACACUGUUGGGACCGCCUCUGCUAAAGAGGAGGAAGGAAUGGGCAACGGUAGGUCAGCAUGCCCCGAAUUAUCUGGGCUACACGCGGGCUACAAUGGGUGGGACAAUGGGUAUCGACACCGAAAGGUGAAGGCAGUCUCCUAAACCCAUCCGUAGUUCGGAUUGUGGGCUGCAACUCGCCCACAUGAAGCUGGAAUCUGUAGCAAUCGUGUCUCAAAAUGGCACGGUGAAUAUGUCCCUGCUCCUU
rnacentral:rRNA from 1 species